UAAUCCUGUCACUGUAAAAUCCUACAGUCAUUCUUCCACACAUAAAGGGAAAACGGACUCACUAGGAGGACCUAGACUCUUUCAGCUUGAACUGUUAACCAAUGGUGGAAAUGCAAGAAUGCUGAAGUUGUGCCUUCGGAGCCAAUAGAGUGGAUUUGUGUGUCCCACAUGACUGUUUCCCCUGUCUUUCACAUGGGCAGUAUUUAGUUCAAUUCAGAACUGCAGAUAGUAUAGCGUGCAAAGCAGCAAUGGGAUGUCUGAGCACAAGUGGCUGACUUCCAGGCGACUUCAGGAAGCACAUUUGUACAUUUCUCCUGAAUUAAACUGGGAUUCUGCACCCUUGACAUCCUCCGACCCUGCUUUUCUCUGCAGGAGGAGGCAGCGACCUGCACAGCACAACAAAACUACAAAUCACCACAGAGAUACAAACCAGCAAAUGAAGUGAACUGAGGGCAGUGUGACCAACAUCAUCUGUGUCGGUUCACCAGAAGUCGAUGAAUCAUGUUAUCAGCUCUCCAAGAAAUCCCAAGGUGAAUUCCCAUUCAUUCUGAAGCAGUCUGGUUUUUUUCGAAACCAAGGGGAUCAGUAGAUGAGCAUCCAGGUGCCAGCUGGUGUAAAUGCAGACGCCACUGACGUCAAUGGAGCUGUGUCAGUUUACACUAGCUGAAAAUCUGAUCCCAAGUGUGUUAGUGCCAUUUUUAGACACUGCCACUGGAAUUCACUUUUGCAACAAUUAAAAAUACAUCCACUCACUGCAUUUCUUCCUGUCCCCAAGGGUAUAACUGGAAGCCUGAUGACAGAUUGUGGGAGAGGGCAAGUGGGAGGUGGAAGUAGUCAACAACUGUAUACAUGAGAUAACUUUGCAAUAUGUGUAUUAACACUGUUGUUCUAUUGUCUUCCUUCCAUACAAAUGAGCCUUCAAAAAAGCCCUAACUCCACCUUCCAGUAACAAUUCAAUGACAGCAAAAGAUUAUUUGAGCCAUACAGAGUUAUCUACUAUAUAAAUACAUUAACACACUAUUUUAAUCAGUGCAUGAAUCUGAAUAGACUGUUUCAAUGCAUUCUUAGGAAAAUUACCUAAAAAUCAUAAGAAAAACUCCCCAAAUCCAUGAUCUGCAUAUUUACCUAAGUAUCUGUUCCUAAGCAAUAUCACUGCUGUACAGGCAGUAAAUAUUUUAAAAGUACUAAAACAGUUGUUUGAAGUAGCCUACAAGCCAGACCUGGUCUGACAUCUAUCAUUUAUAUUUCAUCAAACAUUUGUGUGGAAAAGGGAGAAGGAAGAAAAAAAAAAAAGAGGUGGGGCAAUAAGCAGGGCAGAGUAGUACUUCAUGGCUCCAGCCACCAUUUCUGACUAGGGGGAAAGAGGUUUUAUUACUGUUUUACAUAAAGCAGCUGUUAAACAUGAAUAUACUGUAUAACAGUUGCCAGCAUCAACCGGUACAACGAAGGUGAACAUUAAUCUUUUGAUUCAAGAUAAAGGUCAAAAGGGAAAAGCUAACUAAUUACAGCUGAAGAUACAGUUCAAAUAGCAUUGAAGUAAUUGUUUGUGCAGCAUGGCACCCAUAUCUUCAAUUUAGGUCAGGCCAUCAAGAGAAGGAAAAGGACUGAAGACUGAAGAUGAGAUGCUCUACUUCACACAGUUGCCCUCUGGAAGGACUGGCAAAGGCAGUCACUUAAAUUAACUACAGGUCAUCAGGCAAGAUAUCUAAUCUAUUCCUAGGACAGGCAGAUCUAGCAGUCCAAAUCCCUAUGGCCUUUACAACAACACAAUGAACUACUUCCUCAUGUACCUCUGUCAAUUCACAUUAGGGUUCAUUUUUUUUAAAGCGAUAUUUCAUGUACACCAUGACCCUAUUGCUCAUAGCAAGGAAAGUGCUUUGGUUUAUUUAUGACCUACGAACCUUUAAUAAAAACAACAUAUAUCCAAUCUGAAUGUUCACAUAACCCUGCAGAUCUGAAAUAAAAUUUAAAAUAAAGUUGGCAUUUGCAACAGCUAGCUGAGACCAGUAAGGGAUUUUGUAAAAAAAUGAAAACCAGAUGAGAAGAUGAAAGCAUUUUUACCCUGUAUAACCUGCACACAUCAGGAAUCAGGGCUGGAGCUCAGGAGUACUUUUUUGUGUUUUUUGUACUUACAAGUUUCAGCCUGUUUGAACAGAGGUUAGGUAACCAAGGAAAUACUGAGGUUUUUCCAUUAUAAGAGGUAGAGAGGGGAUAAUAACCCGAGAAAGCAAUUCCUUCUACGAUACAAUCCACCCAGCUGCAAGCUUCACAUAGAUCCUCUCCUUCCCCUCCUAGAUGCCAGAUAUCAGUCAGGCACAACUCCAUAGUGAAAUAUGAAGUGACAGAAGAAAGUAUGGAAUAAGAGCAUAGGAAUAAGUACUGAAAAGAAAAGGCUUACAGAAAGGAAGUUUACAAUAGGUCAAAUGUUAAAUAUGAGCCACCAUAAAGUCUACUCAUUCAGCUAGGGGAAAAAAAAAAAAAGAUGAACAGAUGUAGAAAAGACUACUAAAUUGGAGAGCCUUAUUCUCUCGUCACUUGUGAUGGUAUAAGGAACCCCUUUUCAUCCAUAGAAUUGAACUGUAGAAAAGCCUGCACAAAUAAAUAAAGGAAAAAAUAAAUAAAUCAAACCUCAGGGUUAAAGUAUUGGCAGCAAAUAUCUCAUGUCCUUCAUCAGAAAAAAAAAAAAAAGGUUGACUGCCACAUUUCAUUAGAAUUCAGAAAUACUCAUAAUCACAGUGGCCUUCCUAAUCUACCAUAAAAGGAGUAAAUUAGUUGAUUCUAUUCUUUUGUAAUUAUCCAGUAGGCAAUAUUAACGAUUCUCUGCCCUUUAGAGAUAUUUGAUAGAAAAUACAGUUAAAUGUAGCAAUAAAUUCUUCUACAUGCAGAGCAAGAAGUUGAAAGAAACAGCUAGAACAAAGUCCUGGUCAUGGUGUUUGUUUACAAAAAAGAUACACAGUUUACUUAUAAUCUGCAGUCUUUUGGUGCUGCUUCCCUUUACAUAUGUACAAACGGGAUUUAAAAACCCACAACUUUUGUAAAGUUUUAAAUUAUCAGGUAUGGAUGAGAAGGAAUAUAAGACAUCUUUUACCAGAGGACAAGGUAAACAAUUCAUAGAAGUCUAUGAAUCAGUCAUGUAGCUUCAGUGCAGCAAGCUAAGAGUGGACCGACCAAAAAAGAAUACAGACUGAGCUGCAAGACCACCUUCUGCAGAACUCUACUCAUAUACAAAUAAGAAGUUUGGAAAACUGCCAGCUCCUUACACAAAGACUGAAAUAGGAUGGGCAGAGAAGUGUGUUGGUGUCGACAUUUGAGGAUGCUGUCAAGACAAUGGAGUUCUGUUGUAGUGGUUGCUUCAGUGAACAUUCAACGCUGUCGGCCUUAACACUGAAGAAAGCAACCUAACCACAUGAUGUUUCUCUCCCACCCUACCAAGCUUUACAAAAAAAGGUCACAAUCAACAUUCAUUGCUGUCGGUGGGUUUAACUAUGUGGACAAGCUCACUGAACAAUGAAUGCAACUGUGGCCCCACAUUUUACAGUUGCCACUGUAAAAGCUGAGGAACAUCAGCUCUGAAAGGAGUAAUAAGAAGCAGACACUUACAGGCUACAUUUCUUCUGAUCAAAAUGCAGCUGGGGAUAUUCACUUUUUUCUUGCAUGUUUUUAAUUGUGUUUAACUUGGAUGACUAGAAAAAAAAAAAUUACUGGCUUUUUCUGGAAUAUUAUCCUCCUGAUACUCAGCGAUAAAAAUUCUUACCCUGUAUGUAUGUGGAAGUAAGUAACAGUACAGGGAACUUCAUGUAUACCCACUCCUAAGGACUGAAUUUAAGAGGAAAGAAUAUUUAUAUUUCAUUUUAACUAAGCAUUGUGGAAUCGUUCAAAAUGUUCUACACUUGUCACAACAAAUACAAGUGGGAUCUAGAGUUCAAAGCUAGAGAUAAAAAUGUUAUAUAAAGAAAGAUUACAUAAUUUUACAUGAAACUGAUUUUAAGCAUCUAAAUUAAUACUAUUAGACAGCAAAUACUACUAUAUUUGCCUUUUUGGGGAUAUGAAGAAAGUAUAUCCAGAAAUAAUAAUGGUACACUAGUUAAAGUGUAAAAUUACUGUAAACUUUGGGUACCUAUGUCACACUCAUUAUUGCUGAUAGUAGUAAGAAAAUAAAAAUGUAAAUAAAACCCACAA